rnacentral:lncRNA from 1 species
GGCCUGUGGGGGGGCGUCUGCAGGGACUGCACCAGGUCGCCCUAUCUGGCCCUGGGGUGUGGAGGCUGCGGGCAGCACAGCAUGGCCAUCUUGGACCCUGGGCCGGCCCUCCCCCUCGACUGUCACGCUCCACAGGUCUCCCAGCUCCGAGCCGGCCGGGCCCAGGGAGGGGCAGGCUCCGGCAGUCGGUGGAACGAAUAAGGAGUGUCCAGGUCUGGCGCAGCUGGUUUGGAGGCUGGACCCGGGGCUGGGGUUUGGCUCUGCCCCCGUCCCAACAGGGACUGUGGCAUGAAGCCGCUCCAGGGUUCGCUGCGGGCCCCAGAGCUCCCCUCUUGAGGCAGACUCCCCAGAGCCUCGGGGCCCAUGGGAGGGCACCGGCAUGGCACGGCUAUCCUCCAGCCCGGCUGGUCAACUGGGAGGCUGACCCUCAGGAAUGGCUCCUCGGCUCCAAUGAUCUGGGCUUCUGCUACUACAGAACCCCCACCCUCCCGUCGCUGUGCACCCCCACCCACAUCCACGUAAUGCCCCGUGGUGAGCAGGUGAGGCCACCCAUCCCUGCCCAGGGAGAUCCCGGGCUGACGUGCGGCCAGGUGCCCAUGGUGCUCCACCUGGGGCCAUGGAGCCGAGGGGGCUCUGCAGGGUGCAAGGCACCUCCAGCCUGGCUGCCUGCUGCCUCCCCCUUGCACGUGGAGUCUGCGGGGGGCUGACGGUGACCGGAGGCCGGGCUUCAGCUCCGCAAAGGGCCACAGUGGCUCCGCCAGACUCGAGACGGGUCCAUGCGUCUUGAUCCAAGGCUUCCUGGGAAUAUUCGAGCCCUGCCGACGGAUGUGAUACAGAAAUACAGCCGGCUGCCAGCACGACCGGGGCGGGGGCGACUUCCUCGCCAGCAAGCGAGGAGGAACCCUGUUUUCUCCCCCGCUCAGCCCCACCCCCAGAACUGGGGGCAGCACGCGGAGACUGGAGCUGCCUCUCUCCAGAAUUAGCGAGGCUGCUGCUCCAAGUAAUUUUUUUUGAUUCCACACUGAGCUGUAACAGAAUAUUUGGAUUAUUGUUUUUCCCCUUUUCUACAAACUCAGCAAUUGAAUUAAAAUGCAGGAGU